CAUGGUUGUCGUCAGCUCGUGUCGUGAGAUGUUGGGUUAAGUCCCGCAACGAGCGCAACCUUGUGUUUAGUUGCAAACAGGUCAAGCUGUGCACUCUAGACAGACUGCCGUGGACAACACGGAGGAAGGUGGGGAUGACGUCAAAUCAUCAUGCCCCUUAUGAUCUGGGCUACACACGUGCUACAAUGGCCGGUACAACGGGCAGCGAAGGAGCGAUCCGGAGCGAAUCCUAAAAAGCCGGUCCCAGUUCGGAUUGCAGGCUGAAACUCGCCUACAUGAAGUUGGAGUUGCUAGUAAUCGCGAAUCAGAAUGUCGCGGUGAAUGCGUUCCCGGGUCUU
rnacentral:rRNA from 1 species